rnacentral:rRNA from 1 species
UAACCUGCCCAAGAGAUCGGGAUAGCACCUGGAAACAGAUGCUAAUACCGGAUAACAACAGAUGAUGCCUAUCAACUGUUUAAAAGAUGGUUCUGCUAUCACUCUUGGAUGGACCUGCGGUGCAUUAGCUAGUUGGUAGGGUAACGGCCUACCAAGGCGAUGAUGCAUAGCCGAGUUGAGAGACUGAUCGGCCACAUUGGGACUGAGACACGGCCCAAACUCCUACGGGAGGCAGCAGUA